rnacentral:rRNA from 1 species
GACGAACGCUGGCGGCGUGCUUAACACAUGCAAGUCGAACGAAGAGCGAUGGAAGCUUGCUUCUAUCAAUCUUAGUGGCGAACGGGUGAGUAACGCGUAAUCAACCUGCCCUUCAGAGGGGGACAACAGUUGGAAACGACUGCUAAUACCGCAUACGAUCUAAUCUCGGCAUCGAGGAUAGAUGAAAGGUGGCCCCUACAUGUAAGCUAUCACUGAAGGAGGGGAUUGCGUCUGAUUAGCCAGUUGGAGGGGUAACGGCCCACCAAGGCGAUGAUCAGUAGCCGGUCUGAGAGGAUGAACGGCCACAUUGAGACUGAGACACGGCCCAGACUCCUACGGGAGGCAGCAGUGGGGAAUCUUCCGCAAUGGACGAAAGUCUGACGGAGCAACGCCGCGUGAGUGAUGACGGCCUUCGGGUUGUAAAGCUCUGUUAAUCGGGACGAAAGGCCUUCUUGCGAAUAGUGAGAAGGAUUGACGGUACCGGAAUAGAAAGCCACGGCUAACUACGUG